ACCAAGGCGACGAUCCGUAGCUGGUCUGAGAGGAUGAUCAGCCACACUGGAACUGAGACACGGUCCAGACUCCUACGGGAGGCAGCAGUGGGGAAUAUUGGACAAUGGGCGCAAGCCUGAUCCAGCCAUACCGCGUGGGUGAAGAAGGCCUUCGGGUUGUAAAGCCCUUUUGUUGGGAAAGAAAAGCAGUCGAUUAAUACUCGGUUGUUCUGACGGUACCCAAAGAAUAAGCACCGGCUAACUUCGUGCCAGCAGCCGCGGUAAUACGAAGGGUGCAAGCGUUACUCGGAAUUACUGGGCGUAAAGCGUGCGUAGGUGGUUGUUUAAGUCUGUUGUGAAAGCCCUGGGCUCAACCUGGGAAUUGCAGUGGAUACUGGACGACUAGAGUGUGGUAGAGGGUAGUGGAAUUCCCGGUGUAGCAGUGAAAUGCGUAGAGAUCGGGAGGAACAUCCAUGGCGAAGGCAGCUACCUGGACCAACACUGACACUGAGGCACGAAAGCGUGGGGAGCAAACAGGAUUA
rnacentral:rRNA from 1 species